UGGGGAAUUUUGGACAAUGGGGGAAACCCUGAUCCAGCCAUCCCGCGUGUGCGAUGAAGGCCUUCGGGUUGUAAAGCACUUUUGGCAGGAAAGAAACGUCGCGGGUUAAUACCCCGCGAAACUGACGGUACCUGCAGAAUAAGCACCGGCUAACUACGUGCCAGCAGCCGCGGUAAUACGUAGGGUGCAAGCGUUAAUCGGAAUUACUGGGCGUAAAGCGUGCGUAGGCGGUUCGGAAAGAAAGAUGUGAAAUCCCAGAGCUUAACUUUGGAACUGCAUUUUUAACUACCGGGCUAGAGUGUGUCAGAGGGAGGUGGAAUUCCGCGUGUAGCAGUGAAAUGCGUAGAUAUGCGGAGGAACACCGAUGGCGAAGGCAGCCUCCUGGGAUAACACUGACGCUCAUGCACGAAAGCGUGGGGAGCAAACAGGAUUAGAUACCCUGGUAGUCCACGCCCUAAACGAUGUCAACUAGCUGUUGGGGGCCUUCGGGCCUUGGUAGCGCAGCUAACGCGUGAAGUUGACCGCCUGGGGAGUACGGUCGCAAGAUUAAAAACUCAAAUGAAUUGAC
rnacentral:rRNA from 1 species